UUUCCGUAGGUGAACCUGCGGAAGGAUCAUUCAUAAUAAGUGUUUUAUGGCACUUUUUUUAAAUCCAUAUCCACCUUGUGUGCAAUGUCAGGGUUGAUUUUUCUCUCGAGAGGAUCAGCCCCAAACAUCAACUAUAUCUCAACUCUUUGUCUGAAAAAUAUUAUGAAUAAAACAAUUCAAGAUACAACUUUCAACAACGGAUCUCUUGGCUCUC
rnacentral:misc_RNA from 1 species